GCAUCACUAGCUCAAUUGGAUAGAGUAGUAGACUUCGAAUCUAUUGGUUGGGGGUUCGAGUCCCUCGUGGUGCACCA
rnacentral:tRNA from 1 species